UGCAAGCUAUUCAGCAACACAGUGAGUAAAACUGGACCCACCCUAAAAAGAGGUAGUCAUAAAUAAAGGUAUCAGAAAAUUAUUCACAAUUCCAAGACACCAAGCCCCCCACAUCUGCAGUACCUAAUAUUAUAUAAUAAGCAAAAGCUUGAUAUAGUUAUAGACCAAAGAGUUGGUUAAUUAUGUGCCAGCCACCGCGGUUAUACAUAAAACUCAAAUCAAGAAACUCCUAUCGGUUUAAAAGUGACCAGGAUAAAACUUUCUUUAAAGUGAAAAACAACUCUAGUAUUAACAAGCUUUUACAGUAAACUAACAACUAAUUUAAAAUUACUUUAACCCUUACCUAUCCGAAACACUAAAGCUCAAAAAUAAACUGGGAUUAGAUACCCCACUAUAUGAGCCCUAAAAAAACAAAAACACCAGAGAACUACGAACAAAAGUUUAAAACUCAAAGGACUUGGCGGUUUUUUAGAUCUUCCUGGAGGAGCUUGCUAUCUAACCGAUAACCCACGAAAAACCUUACCAGC
rnacentral:rRNA from 1 species